GCACUCUAAGUGAGGGAGGGGUCCUGGGACCUUCCUUAUUCCUUCCCCUUAAACCCGAGUGUUCUUGAAUUUAGGCUUUUGGGGGGGCAUACCUUUUAAGUUGAAUCCAGCAGGAAGGUUCCUUAGCUCUGUCUUGUUGUUAGUUUGAUUUUCAGUCCCCUAGUAGCAUUUAGUUUGUAAUUGGUAAGGAAGGUUUUUCAGAGGUCUGAACUUUUACUGCCUCUAAGCUGCCAUAUUGAUUCUUCCCCCUCUAGAAUCAAAGGUCCUGAAUUUCUGGGGCUAGAGAGAGAGGACUCCAAGAAGAGAGUCACUCCAAGAAGGAAGUUGGCUUCAAGUGGAAGGUGGGCUCAAAGAAGAAAGUUGGCCUCAGGAGCCUCCUUCAGCUCUAGUCAUUAUCUUGACCUGUCUCUUGGAGAGAAUUUGUGUGUGCCUCAUCAUCUGGGAAACCUGAUGAAAUAUAAUCAGUCUACAAUCAUUAAGCUUGUGUCAGACACUGUAGUAAAAUCUGAGGAUGUGAAGAAAAGCAAAUAUGGAGUUCCUGCUUUCAGUAAACUCAUAUUCCAACUGCAAAUUUUAAAGAUGAGGCAGCCGAAGCAAGGAGGUGUAAAUGACUGGCUUAGGGUCACCGAACUGCUAUAUGAGGAGAAAGUGUUUUCCUUAGAGGACUCAAAUUCACAACAGUGCCUUAUGGAGACACAAUCAAAAUGAAGAAGAAAAGUGACACAAUUUGAGGGAUAAUUCAAAGUCCAGGGAUUACCGAGGUGAUCUACUUCUUAGAAAUGAUUAAGAAGACCUAAGUUUCAUUUCCUGGAAAGGUGAAUUUUUCCCAUUAAAGAUGUAAUUAUUCAAUCAAGAUAUUUUGACUUUUCCAUGUAGACUAAUUGUAGAAUAAACACAUUGUACUUACAUGCCA
rnacentral:lncRNA from 1 species